rnacentral:rRNA from 1 species
CAGAGGGUGCAAACGUUGUUCGGAAUUACUGGGGCGUAAAGCGCGUGUAGGCGGCCCUGCAAGUCGGGUGUGAAAUCCCACGGCUCAACCGUGGAAGUGCACUCGAAACUGCAGGGCUAGAGUCCUGGAGAGGAAGGUGGAAUGCUUGGUGUAGAGGUGAAAUUCGUAGAUAUCAAGCGGAACACCGGUGGCGAAGGCGGCCUUCUCGGACAGUGACUGACGCUGAGACGCGAAAGCGUGGGGAGCAAACAGGAUUAGAUACCCUGGUAGUCCACGCCGUAAACGAUGAGUGCUAGGUGUCGACGGGCUUUGACCCUCGUGGUGCCGAAGCUAACGCGUUAAGCACUCCGCCGUGGGGAGUACGGUCGCAAGACUA